CCUACGGGAGGCAGCAGUGGGGAAUAUUGCACAAUGGGGGAAACCCUGAUCCAGCAACGCCGCGUGAGUGAAGAAGGCAUUCGGGAUGUAAAGCUCUAUCAGCAGGGAAGAAAAUGAUGGUACCUGACUAAGAAUCCGCGUCUAACUACGUGACAGCAGCCGCCGCAAUACGCCGGGGGCAGAGGUUAUCCGGAUUUACUGGGGGUAAAGGGGGCGUAGACGGCGACGCAAGUCUGAAGUGAAGUGCCAGGGAUCAACACUGGAACUGCCUUGGAAACUGGGUAGCUAGAGUGGAGGAGAGGUAAGUGGAAUGCGUAGUGUAGCGGUGAAAUGCAUAGAUAUCAGGAAGAACACCGGUGGCGAAGGCAGCAUGCCGG
rnacentral:rRNA from 1 species